rnacentral:misc_RNA from 1 species
UGAGCAUUCACCAUCUAUGGUUAUGAAGAUAUGUGAAAAGUUACCAUGGAGUUAUUCACAUGUUGGUGUGGAGUUGGCUUUGGAUCAUAAGAAUUCACCUUUUUUGAAACCAACUAGUGAUCUUGUUUGUGCACAUAAUUUGGAGGCUCAUUUGCACUUGCUUGACGGAUAUCAUGGAAAAGGGAGAAGAUUUGUGCUUGAAAAAG